GGCGAACGCUGGCGGCGUGCUUAACACAUGCAAGUCGAACGGUAAGGCCCUUCGGGGUACACGAGUGGCGAACGGGUGAGUAACACGUGGGUGAUCUGCCCUGCACUUCGGGAUAAGCCUGGGAAACUGGGUCUAAUACCGGAUAGGACUCCUGGCUUCAUGGUUGGGGGUGGAAAGCUUUUGCGGUGUGGGAUGGGCCCGCGGCCUAUCAGCUUGUUGGUGGGGUAAUGGCCUACCAAGGCGACGACGGGUAGCCGGCCUGAGAGGGUGACCGGUCACACUGGGACUGGGAUACGGCCCAGACUCCUACGGGAGGCAGCAGUGGGGAAUAUUGCACAAUGGGCGCAAGCCUGAUGCAGCGACGCCGCGUGAGGGAUGACGGCCUUCGGGUUGUAAACCUCUUUCAGCUAUGACGAAGCGCAAGUGACGGUAGUAGCAGAAGAAGGACCGGCCAACUACGUGCCAGCCGCCGCAGUAA
rnacentral:rRNA from 1 species